UGGGGAAUAUUGCACAAUGGGGGGAACCCUGAUGCAGCGACGCCGCGUGAAGGAAGAAGGCCUUCGGGUUGUAAACUUCUUUGACCAGGGACGAAUAAAUGACGGUACCUGGAGAACAAGCCACGGCUAACUACGUGCCAGCAGCCGCGGUAAUACGUAGGUGGCGAGCGUUGUCCGGAAUUACUGGGUGUAAAGGGCGUGUAGGCGGGUUCUUAAGUCAGAUGUGAAAUCCCGGGGCUCAACUCCGGAGCUGCAUCUGAAACUGGGGAUCUUGAGUGCUGGAGGGGAAAGUGGAAUUCCUAGUGUAGCGGUGAAAUGCGUAGAGAUUAGGAGGAACACCAGUGGCGAAGGCGGCUUUCUGGACAGCAACUGACGCUGAGGCGCGAAAGCGUGGGGAGCAAACAGG
rnacentral:rRNA from 1 species